rnacentral:lncRNA from 1 species
CAAUGGAGACUGAUUUGUGUUGAUCCUGCCUCCUUCCCAUUUUCAGGCAUCUCUGCCAUUUCAGCACCCAGAAAGAGACAGCAUAAUACAGCAGACAAGUCCAUGAAUGUGUGGAGGGAAUUACUGGAUGAAUGAAAAGGAACAUGGUGGCCAUGUGGCCUGUUGCCCCCAAGUACUACUUGGAGACCAGCCUGGCAUGGAAAUGACCAGAUGUUUGAAGCUGAGCCACUGGUGAGUGAAAUAAAUAAGUUCGAUGUCACACUUCCCAUCUGCGUGGACAGU